GUCUUGAUGGUGUUUUCAACUCAUUGAAUUUUCAGUUUCAGGGACGACGAAAUUGAUGUGGAAACUAUUUCUAUUAAUAUUUCUAUCGAUGGCUUACCCUUACAUAAGAGUUCGUCCACGCAAUUUUGGCCAAUACUCGCAAAUAUAAAUGAACUUCCUGACUUUCCUGUCAUGACUGUAGCGAUUUUCUGUGGCCCCAAAAAGCCAGGAAAUCUGGAUGAAUUUUUAGGACCCUUAAUCACUGAACUAAAUUCAUUAAUGGCCAAUGGAGUUUUUGUAAAGACCAGAAAGAUAGGAGUAAAAAUACGAGCAAUAAUGGCAGACUCACCAGCCAGAGCAUUUAUAAAAGGUGUUGCUUAUUUCAACGCGAAGAAUGGGUGUUUGAAGUGUAAAUGUGUUGGAGUAUUUAACCACGAUUCGAAUACAGUUGUGUUUAGAGGCAUUAACGCUUCUCUCCGAACUGACAAGGAAUUUAGAGAAGCAUCCCAGACCGCACAUCAUAAAAUCUUGACACCUCUACUGCUACUGGAUAAUUUCGACAUGAUACAGAAUGUUAUUAUCGCAGACGUACUGCAUUUGAUAUACUUGGGUAUUAUGCGAAGAUUACUGUUUGGGUGGAGAGAUGGUACCUUAGGUAAAUACACAAAGUGGGCUUCCUGUACGAUUGAACAAAUUUCUAUGUGGUUAAAAAAUGUUAAAUUACCUUAUGAAAUUCAUCGUAAAACACGAGAUUUGUAUUGUUUGCGACAUUGGAAAGGCACAGAAUAUAGUAGUUUUUUUUCAUUAUUUAAGCUUUGUUAUCCUAAAGCACUAUUUACCAGAAGACGCAUUCAAACAUUUUAUGCUUCUAUUUUGUUCAAUUACAUUAUUGUCGUCAAACAUUUACAAAUCAAAUUGGAAACUUGCUGCCGAAAUGCUUGAGCAAUAUGUUCUAGACUUCGAGAAGAUUUUUGGUGUAAAGUAUAUGACCAGCAAUGUUCACAAUUUACAACAUAUUUACAAGGACGUAGAUAAAUUUGGAAAAUUGCCUACCCUUUCAACCUUUAAAUUUGAAAACGACUUACACUUUAUGAAAAAUAUGCUCAGAUCAGGAUACAAAAAUUUGCAACAGAUAGCUAAUAGAAAAAUUGAAUUAAUGUAUUUUAAACCUAUAAAUAUGACUAGAGUACAAUUACCUUUCCUUAGAAUUAGAAAAAAAUGGUAGCAUGCAGUUACAUUUACGAAGUGGUUGUCUACUGAGAAAUUAUUUUCCUGAUUCUUGGUUUUUGACAACUGAUAAUUGUAUUGUGAAGUACCAUUCUGCUACUAAAGAACACGGAUCAAUUGUUAUUCAGGGUUUCAAAUUACUUGAUUGUUAUGAUGCAUUUGAUAUUCCAUUUUCUUCACAAAUAUUGCAUGCGUUUGAAGGUGAUAUAAAGAAAAUUAUUCGUUCAGCGUCCGAAUACAGAUUUGAAGAUGUAAAAUGUAAGCUGGUAGCAAUUAAUAGUGUCGAACCUGAUGGAUCCAAUUUUUUUUUUUCAUUCCGCUACUACACACUUUUAUAGAAUAGAAAUUAGUUAUGUAGUUAACAACUAAACAAACAUGUCAAAUUGAAUCAAAUUUAACUAAUAUAUAGAGCGUAUAGUAAGCCUUAGUUAAAUGGUUUUACGAGAAUUCAUUUUUUAUGGCAAUUCACGUUUCUGUUAUUUUUAAACACAUUCUGUAGAAACAUAAUGCGACCUAGUUUUUAAUCUUUUUAUUAUUAAUUAAUAAAUGUAUUCAAAAACUUCUUAACAUCAA